rnacentral:rRNA from 1 species
GACGAACGCUUGCGGCGUGCCUAAGAAAUGCAAGUCGAACGGACACGGGAGCAAUCCUGUGUUAGUGGCGAACGGUCGCGUAACACGUAAGCAACCUGCCCUAAAGUGGGGGACAACAGUCCGAAAGGACUGCUAAUACCGCAUGUGGCCACAUCUUCGCAUGGAGUUGUGUCUAAAGGAUUCCUGUUAAAGGGGAUUCGCUUUUGGAUGGGCUUGCGGCCUAUCAGCUGUUGGUGGGGUAACGGCCUACCAAGGCUUCGAUCAGUAACUGGUGUGAGAGCACGACCAGUCACACGGGCACUGAGACACGGGCCCGACUCCUACGGGAGGCAGCAGUAAGGAAUAUUGGUCAAUGGACGCAAGUCUGAACCAGCCAUGCCGCGUGAAGGAUGAAGGUCCUCUGGAUUGUAAAC